CUAUUCUUCAAAUGUCAUGUUGCUCGUCGCGUGUGACGCGUAAUGUCCAUCUCAACCCUGGACAGGCGGUGGAAACAACCAAGCUGGAGUACUCUAGGGGCAGAGGGGAUUUCCGGUGGAGCAGUGAAAUGCAAUUUUUUUUUGAGAAAUCGGUGAAAUGCAUUCAGAUUGGAAAGAACACCAACGGCGAAAUCACUCUGCUGAGCCGACACUGACACUGAGAGACGAAAUCUAGGGGCGCAAAUGGGUUUAGAGACCCCAGUAGUCCUAUCCCGAAUAUGGCAGUUGAA
rnacentral:ncRNA from 1 species